rfam:Heterocephalus glaber contig63530, whole genome shotgun sequence.
GGGUUGAGGAUGACAUUUCAAUGGGGCUGAAAAGAGGUGAUGUCUUGAAAAACAGGCUCAAUAGAAUUAUGCUGAGGCCC